CAAUCUCCAUAGGCUGGCUAGCCCAGAGGCUAGGCUGGGUGAAUAUCUCUUCGAAAGGCUCACUCUCAAGCACGACUAGGAGC
rnacentral:pre_miRNA from 1 species